rnacentral:rRNA from 1 species
UGGGGAAUAUUGCACAAUGGGCGCAAGCCUGAUGCAGCCAUGCCGCGUGUAUGAAGAAGGUCUUCGGGUUGUAAAGUACUUUCAGCGGGGAGGAAGGGAGUAAAGUUAAUACCUUUGCUCACUGACGUUACCCGCCGAAGAAGCACCGGCUAACUCCGUGCCAGCAGCCGCGGUAAUACGGAGGGUGCAAGCGUUAAUCGGAAUUACUGGGCGUAAAGCGCACGCAGGCGGUUUGUUAAGUCAGAUGUGAAAUCCCCGGGCUCAACCUGGGAACUGCAUCUGAUACUGGCAAGCUUGAGUCUCGUAGAGGGGGGUAGAAUUCCAGGUGUAGCGGUGAAAUGCGUAGAGAUCUGGGGGAAUACCGGAGGCGAAGGCGGCCCCCUGGACGAAGACUGACGCUCAGGUGCGAAAGCGUGGGGAGCAAACAGG